GGGGCCAGCGUGGUGGGCGCGGAGAGAGCCACACAGCCCCGCGCCGCACGGACACACAACCCGCCCAGUGACACCCGGGGACACACCAAACGGGAGACGGGCCGCAGCGGGAGCAACAAAGGAGCCCGGGCCGAGAAGACAUUUGGUAAUUCAGGCAGGAGCCAGUUUCUUUAUUGAUUUAUCUGGUACUUUCAGCUUCAUGCACCUGGAUUCUUGGGCAUGUCUCUGUGGCAAAAUGGAUAAAGGGGAUGAUUCCUUUUCAACAAGAAGAUCUCAACAACAAUGAGAUCAUCAAACCCGAGGCCCCAAGUGGAGACUUGGUUGAAUUAUCCGGUUUGGAUGACUGCACUGACCAGAUAAAGACAACAACUGCCAAAUAUUCCCUACAGUGGAGACAACGCUCAAGUGGGAAGAGUUGAACAGUAAUUGCUGACGAUGUGAACUCAGUUGUUUUUAUGAUCUUAUUUAACCUUUCCAACAACCCUCUAAGAAAUAAGCUUUUAUUGGACACCUACUGCUCACAGCCUCUGUGCUGGAUUCUGCGUGUACAUUUACUCUUGAAUCCCCACAACAACCCUUUGCUCUAGGUUUGAUUAUCUCCAUUUUACAGAUAGGGAAAAUUAAGUAACUUGCCUAAGAUCGCCAACAGCUAAGUGGUGGUACUAAUUCCCAAACCUGAGGUUUUUCUAGUGCAAUGCGCUGUUUCCUUGCAUCUGUUUCAUGAGUUACAAGCUACUUAGUGGAGCAAGACAGGCAUGUUUAGAAGAUGCUUGAAUUCUGUCAAGCCAUUAAGGAAUCUUUUGUGCGCUUCCAAAUGACUAUUUUUUCAAAGAGGCAUCCAACUGCAUUCAAAGAGCUAAGGUAACUUACUAAUUGUAAUUAAUAUGAGAGUCCAAGGAUUGUAUACCUUAAGAGAAUGCAGUUCUGAUGGAUGAGUUAAGAUUAAAGGCUAGAUACUGAAAUUCACAGUACCAACAGUAAUUAGUAAACUGGCUUUUGUAUACAUUCCUAUUCUCAAAGCUAGUGUUUGGAUAAAGACUUUUUGUCUUGAUCAGAGGAGCUAGAAAUGAAAUAUUUGUGAAUCUGACUUCCUAGUUUCAAAUUCUAACUGUUGAAUAUAAAAAGUUUUUAUUUA